UUAUUUUUGUUAUUAUCGAAAUUACAGGAAUAAGCAGUUUGCUGUGGUAGAAAACCCCGGCUUUUGGGAUUGGACAUUCACUCUGAAAGAUGAAAAUGACAAUGUGUUGGCACAGAUCAACCGUGAUUGGCGGGUCUUGGUUUGGAGCUCUUCACUGAUGCUGGUCAGUAUGUGAUUCGAUUUGGAAAUGCUGAUUCAAGUUCUGGCCUGGCUUCAGUGAUCCCAGAAUUAAAAGUUGCUCGUCCACUCUCUCUCUCUGAAAGAGCUGUAGCUGUUGCUCUUGCUGUUUCUCUGGACAGUGACUAUUUCUCCAGGCGUGGUGGCUGGGGGCUCCCUGUCAUAAUUGCUGGCGAGUAAAACAUCCAAAGACCAGCUGCCACUGCUCUUUUCUGAAGAAUUAUGUCACGAAGUAUCAUUUGGUUUCACCUCUGCUUUGGCCCUUUAUUGAAAAGCUGUAGCAUCUCGCAUGUUUGCAUCAAUCAACCUUCAGUUAAAUAAAUUUUCUUAUCUCACCAUUUUGGUGGUUUAAUGUGCUCCAAAAAGUGGAGAAUUCCUGUAUAGCAAUUAACUUUGACAAAUUACAGAUAAAAUGGAUUGAGAAGAUGGUACUAAAAGAGAGGUUAAAAAUAUAAAUGCAUUUCUUGUUCUUCUCGGCAUUA